CCUCCCACCCGUGUUUACUGUACCUUAGUUGCUUCGGCGGGAAGGAAACUGGCCGCCGGGGGCUCUCAGCCCCGGGCCCGCGCAGAAGGAGACACCACGAACUCUGUCUGAUCUAGUGAAGUCUGAGUUGAUUGUAUCGCAAUCAGUUAAAACUUUCAACAAUGGAUCUCUUGGUUCCGGCAUCGAUGAAGAACGCAGCGAAAUGCGAUAACUAGUGUGAAUUGCAGAAUUCCGUGAAUCAUCGAGUCUUUGAACGCACAUUGCGCCCCCUGGUAUUCCGGGGGGCAUGCCUGUCCGAGCGUCAUUGCUGCCCAUCAAGCACGGCUUGUGUGUUGGGUCGUCGUCCCCUCUCCGGGGGGGACGGGCCCCAAAGGCAGCGGCGGCACCGCGUCCGAUCCUCGAGCGUAUGGUUUCUUUGUCACCCGCUCUGUAGGCCCGGCCGGCGCUUGCCGAACGCAAAUCAAUCUUUUUCCAGGUUGACCUCGGAUCAGGUAGGGAUACCCGCUGAACUUAAGCAUAUCAAUAAGCGGAGGAA
rnacentral:rRNA from 1 species